UCACCUUCGCCUGCGCGAGCCCUCGCUGACCCAGGUUGGGAAGCCAGACAAGAGUAAAAUAUGAACGGAAGAGUGGAUUACUUGGUUACUGAGGAGGAGAUCAAUCUCACUAGAGGACCCUCAGGGCUGGGCUUCAACAUCGUCGGUGGCACAGAUCAGCAGUAUGUCUCCAAUGACAGUGGCAUCUUCGUCAGCCGCAUCAAAGAGAACGGGGCUGCAGCCCUGGAUGGGCGGCUCCAGGAGGGUGAUAAGAUCCUCUCGGUAAACGGCCAAGACCUAAAGAACCUGCUGCACCAGGAUGCUGUAGACCUCUUUCGUAAUGCAGGCUAUGCUGUGUCCCUGAGAGUGCAGCACAGGUUACAGGUGCAGAAUGGGCCUCUAGGACAUCACGGUGAAGGGGAGCCAAGUGGUAUUCCCAUAACUGUGGUGCUGGCGCCCGUGUUUGCCCUCAUCAUGGUAGCAGCCUGGGCCUUCAUGAGAUACCGGCAACGACUUUGAAAAGCUUGCUUUCUUCCAGUGCUCCCGGAGAAGAAGAUACAUUUCUCUCUUUCUCUCACCCUCCUCCCUUGCCAUUCUCCCAUAACUUUCCCUCUCUCUACAUAGCCAACACACAAUUUAAAGAGACUGCUACCCAACCAGAACCUUGCUGCUCAAAAUCUCUAAAUCCUCAUACUCUGGUGGGAGAGUAAAGGCAUUGUUUGAAGGAAUGCUGAAAGAAGGACUUGCUUAGAACAAAUGAAGAGUUAUAUAUUUUACUAGGACCACCAAUAGAAGUUCAGCUGCAACCCAGAGAGGGAGAGGUCCAGUCUUCCCAUCACCAUGCGUGAUUCCUUUUUUCUUACCUGGCAUGUGUCAAAGAUCAGCUGUAAUAAGAGGAAGAAAGGAUUUUUCUCUUUAAUGAUCUUCGUUGGGAAGUUUUUGUGUCCUUUAUUUAAUUUCUAACUACCUACUUGGGCACCUACUUUGUAUCAAACAGAGGUGAAUGAAGAGAGAAUUUCUACUUUUUUAAGAAAGCAAAAAAAAUACACACACACACACAUAUUCAUAUAUGAUAGUAUAAUAGUGAUGCCUUAUGGAGAAUUAAAGAGAAAGCAA